CGACCCCCACCUCCAGCUACGAGACCAAGGAGUAGAUCACCUCCACCUCGACCUCCAUCUCCGGUUGAGAGACCACAAUCCUCAAGAUCACCAGCAUCCGCACGAAGAACGUAAGCAAGCUAC